AUUGAACGCUGGCGGCAUGCCUUACACAUGCAAGUCGAACGGCAGCAUGGAGAGCUUGCUCUCUGAUGGCGAGUGGCGAACGGGUGAGUAAUGCAUCGGAACGUACCGUGUAAUGGGGGAUAACGUAGCGAAAGUUACGCUAAUACCGCAUACGACCUGAGGGUGAAAGCAGGGGAUCGCAAGACCUUGCGUUAUACGAGCGGCCGAUGUCAGAUUAGCUAGUUGGUGAGGUAAAGGCUCACCAAGGCGACGAUCUGUAGCGGGUCUGAGAGGAGUAUCCGCCACACUGGGACUGAGACAGGGCCCAGACUCCUACGGGAGGCAGCAGUGGGGAAUUUUGGACAAUGGGGGCAACCCUGAUCCAGCCAUGCCGCGUGAGUGAAGAAGGCCUUCGGGUUGUAAAGCUCUUUCGGCCGGGAAGAAAUCGCACAGGCUAAUACUCUGUGUGGAUGACGGUACCGGCAUAAGAAGCACCGGCUAACUACGUGCCAGCCGCCGCCGUAA
rnacentral:rRNA from 1 species